rnacentral:rRNA from 1 species
GGAGCUAUUGGCUUUGAAUUGUAUUGUGGAAAUGUAUUACCAACAGAGGUGCAGGUGCCAGCCUAUUGAAAUAAAGCGUCAAUGAGGGUGAGAAUCCUGUUUGUCAUGUGCAGCCCUUUGUGCACGGUGUAUAUUUGCUGAGUCACACUCCUUGGCAUUGGAAUGCAAAGUGGGUGGUAAGUUUCAUGUAAAGGUAAACAUGCAAUUGAGACUGAUAGCACACAAGUACCAUGAGGGAAAUAUGAAAAGGACUUUGAAAAGAGAAUUAAAUGAGUUUGUAUUUGCUGAACACAAAGUAAACAGACUUGAUUUGCUUGGUGGGAGUGUUGCACUUGCUUGACAAGAGCUUUGGGCUGUGGGUGUAAUGAUUCUUUCUUUGCAUGCCAGUUUCUAUUUGUACAUCUGAUUACCUUUGCACAUGAAUGAUAAGUCUCCUGUGGGGGGUGGAUUGCAUGUGCAUGUAAUGAUUUGUGUUUUGAUAAAUGUGUCUGGUGUAUGUGUGUGUUCCUGUGCUUGGGGAUGCUUCCUUCCUUGGACUUACAAGCCCUGACACACACAUGCUGGCAAAAUGCUUCUGCUUGACCCGUCUUGAAACACGGACCAAGGAGUCUAACAGAUGUGCAAAGUUUGAAGGUGGUAUACCUUUGUGUGCAAUGAAAGUGUCAGCUGGGAUAUGUGCACCAGCACCCAAUUAAUUAGCGGACAGAGGUUUGAGUUGGAGCAUAUCUAUUAGGACCCGAAAGAUGGUGAACUAUGCCUGAACAGAAUGAAUUCAGAGGAAACUCUGAUGGAGGUUCGUAUCGAUACUGACGUGCAAAUCGUUCGUCAUAUUUGGGUAUAGGGGCGAAAGACUAAUCGAACCAUCUAGUAGCUGGUUCCCUCCGAAGUUUCCCUCAGGAUAGCUGGAGUUGCUCAGUUUUAUCAGGUAAAGCGAAUGAUUAGAGGAAUUGGGGACAGGUUUGUCUUUGACCUAUUCUCAAACUUUAAAUGGGUAA